rnacentral:lncRNA from 1 species
AAACAUUUGGUGGCCAAACAUAUAGAAUCUCUGAUCUAGAGAAACUCCGAUCCUUGUAUGGUGAAAAUUACAAUGGAUGGAAGCAAGGCGGUCAUACUCUUGAUGGUGAUCCUGGGAUGUUUCAUGAUUCCAACACACUGUAAGUGGACAUCACGCGUCGAGGCACGCAUUCGGAUGAAGUUACUUAUUGUUUUUUUAUUAAAUACAAAUUAUUUCCAUGAUAUCCAAUUCGAGAAAUAGAGAAUCGAUCUUUAAAAGUACUGUAAAAAUUAGGUUUACAUUAACAAAUUGUUUAAGUGAAUGCCCUUAUGUGCAUGCAGCUCGGAAUGUUGUUCAUAUGUGCCCAUGCAACAAUGAAGUCUGUAGUUGGGGUUACUGCUACUGCUGUUCACACAAAAGUUGUUUUAUAACGAUGGAGGA